ACUCCAUGAAGCUGGAUUCGCUAGUAAUCGCGCAUCAGCCACGGCGCGGUGAAUACGUUCCCGGGCCUUGUACACACCGCCCGUCAAGCCAUGGAAGCCGGGAGUGCCUGAAGUGCGUGACCGCAAGGAACGCCCUAGGGUAAAACCGGUGACUGGGGCUAAGUCGUAACAAGGUACC
rnacentral:rRNA from 1 species